rnacentral:rRNA from 1 species
AGAGUUUGAUCCUGGCUCAGAUUGAACGCUGGCGGCAUGCCUUACACAUGCAAGUCGAGCGGCAGCGCGGGGGCAACCCUGGCGGCGAGCGGCGAACGGGUGAGUAAUGCAUCGGAACGUGUCCUCUUGUGGGGGAUAACCAGUCGAAAGACUGGCUAAUACCGCAUGAGAUCGAGAGAUGAAAGCAGGGGACCGCAAGGCCUUGCGCGAGAGGAGCGGCCGAUGCCGGAUUAGCUAGUUGGUGGGGUAAAAGCCCACCAAGGCGACGAUCCGUAGCUGGUCUGAGAGGACGACCAGCCACACUGGGACUGAGACACGGCCCAGACUCCUACGGGAGGCAGCAGUGGGGAAUUUUGGACAAUGGGGGCAACCCUGAUCCAGCCAUGCCGCGUGUGUGAAGAAGGCCUUCGGGUUGUAAAGCACUUUCGGACGGAACGAAAUCGCGUGGGUGAAUAUCCCGCGUGGAUGNCGGUACCGUAAGAAGAAGCACCGGCUAACUACGUGCCAGCAGCCGCGGUAAUACGUAGGGUGCGAGCGNUAAUCGGAAUUACUGGGCGUAAAGUGUGCGCAGGCGGCGUCGCAAGUCGAGUGUGAAAGCCCCGAGCUUAACUUGGGAAUUGCGCUCGAAACUACGAUGCUGGAGUGUGGCAGAGGAAGGUGGAAUUCCACGUGUAGCGNUGAAANGCGUAGA